AAGUUAGAUUUGGGCAUGGAAGGCUAAGCCUUCGCAUGAAUAUUCAUGAUGAUGUUCAGACCCUAUAACAGGGCAAAUUACCAUGUAGAAGGCAGCUUUUCCCACCAUUGUCGGCAUUCCACCAUUUGUCCCUUCUACUCUAUUGUUCUCUACCACCAGACUUGGGCAUUGGGAAGUCUGGACCAUCAGAUGCAUUUGGCAUGCCAGCGACAGCGCUGGUCCUUUGCCUCUUACCACCAGGGCCUCCAGGAAGGGAGUCAUCAUGCAAACCUAAGAGCUUAUGCAAAGAAUGACACCAGAGACACCCCCAGUAUUGUAACAUUCCUAUCUGUUUAUGUGGCUUGGAGCUUUUCUGACUUUAGUCCUUAUUUUAAUACAAGGCUCUAAGGCUUGGCUUUGCCCUGAGGGGUGUGUCCCUACAAGCUACUGAACUCACUGCUUUUAGUUCUGUGUCACCUGAUUCUGGGACAAGAACCGUUCUGCCUUCGGAUCAACUGGCCAUCACUACACGUACUACUGACUAGUCAAAAGGAUCGGGCAACAAGAGGAAGCACAAGCAUCAGGAUUUAAAGAGGCAAAAGACAGAUUCAUACCAGAUGGGGGCUGAAGGCCUGGCACACAGAGCGUUCGGCUUUGAUUUUUUCCUGUUACCCCAGAGGGCGCUGAACUGAGAGAAGACCGGCCCAGAGGGCCAGGCCAUGGAAGCUGGAGACUGCUACAGCCCAGGAUGACAGAUGACGGGGGUGCAGCACUAGAGAAGAAGCCCAGCAAUGCUGCGUCGUGGCCCAAAGGGGUGCUCUGGUGGUGACAAGUGCAGAGCCUGGGAGGAUGAGCUUCCCAGAGGCGGAACCGCUGCUCACCUCUUUGAUUGGCCUUGAUGUGGGAAGCCCAAAGUAAAUACCCAUUGGGCAACUGCCAAGGAGAGCAAGAAAUUCCAGCUACCAUGUAAGGAAUCUGUGAGGCCCAGCCAGCCUCCCUCACCUGGCUCGCUUCCCUCAGCAAUUUGUACUGGGCGAGCUCCCAGAAUCUUCAGCAGCUCCUGUGCCCCAGAGAUCUCAGUGUCGCUGGCUGCUUGGCCAACCCAAAGGUAAGCAGUGGAGGGAGUUUUCAGGACAAACGCAUCGUUGGAGUUCAGUUCACUGGCAACAGCAUCCAGCUGGAAAGCAACAGCACCAUAGCUAUCAAACGGGUCGGUACUUUCGCCACUGACAGUUAUAUAAGGACUAUGAUCAGCGCCCCCAGCACUACAGAACAAACUUAAACCCUCCACCAUACAAACACCAAGGACUCAGGGAUAACAUCACGCUGCCAGUUGCAGUCAAGUCGCUGAAGCAGAAAGAUUCUAAAACAAGCAUGAAAAGAUUAAGCAGGUGUGUGAGGG